CUUCCAGUAGCACCUUAGAGACCAACUAAGUUUGUUAUUGGUAUGAGCUUUAACAAACUUACGGUAACUGGUCUCUAAGGUGCUACUGGAAA